rnacentral:rRNA from 1 species
GAUGAACGCUGGCGGCGUGCCUAAUACAUGCAAGUCGAGCGAACGGACGAGGAGCUUGCUCCUCUGACGUUAGCGGCGGACGGGUGAGUAACACGUGGAUAACCUACCUAUAAGACUGGGAUAACUUCGGGAAACCGGAGCUAAUACCGGAUAAUAUAUUGAACCGCAUGGUUCAAUAGUGAAAGACGGUUUUGCUGUCACUUAUAGAUGGAUCCGCGCCGCAUUAGCUAGUUGGUAAGGUAACGGCUUACCAAGGCAACGAUGCGUAGCCGACCUGAGAGGGUGAUCGGCCACACUGGAACUGAGACACGGUCCAGACUCCUACGGGAGGCAGCAGUAGGGAAUCUUCCGCAAAGGGCGAAAGAUUGACGGAGCAACGCCGCGUGAGUGAUGAAGGUCUUCGGAUCGUAAAACUCUGUUAUUAGGGAAGAACAAAUGUGUAAGUAACUAUGCACGUCUUGACGGUACCUAAUCAGAAAGCCACGGCUAACUACGUG